rnacentral:lncRNA from 1 species
CUCCUGGGCUCAAGUGAUCCUCCUGUCUCAGCCUCCCAAAGUGCUGGGAUUACAGGCGUGAGUCACCACGUGCAGCCUAAUUGAGUUAUUUAUUGGUUUUGAGAGCAACGCCCAAAGGCCCAAGAAAUGAUAACUCAUUCAGUGAAGGCUUCAACAUGAAAUGCCAACUUGAAAAAACAGAAAACAAGUUGCUUAAUUUCUCCUCCACAACUUGAAAAAGAGCAGUGCAAGAUGUUGACUUAGAGGAAAAUUCAUCAUGCAAGAUUUAGAGGAAAAUUCAGCAAACACUUAUUGAGCACUUACUAUUUAGGCCAGGCCUGUGUUAGAUCCUUCCUAUAUAGUAUCUCAUUUAAUCCUUAAAGCCACAGAGAAAUUAAAACUAUAGAGAUUAUUAUACUAUAACAAGGUUAACCCUCUAGGCAACAGCUUGGGAUUUUCCAUGUAUGCCUGUUUACUGCUAGAGAAUUUAAUUUGGAGACAAAAUGAUUUUAAUGCCCUCGCACCUGUAGGAAUACUUUCCUUUCUCUUCCUUCUGUUGGAAUGUGAAGAGGCCCAAGAAAAUAUUACUCUUCCUUGCCAAGUUCUGAACGAGUUGAGAAAUAGGACAAAAGAGUAAGGCAAAUGGAAGAGCAAGAUGUCACCUUUGUUGCUGAUGAAGCUGAUUUUUGGAGAUUGUGCCUUUUUUUUCUGUGGGUAAGCAGAUUUCCUACUACCGAACCCCAGAGUUAGAAAUACCCAGCCACCAGCAGUGUGGGGCCACCCUGGGCCUCUGCACACACAGGACUAUGCCCGGAAGACCCUCAGUGUGUGUGUGUGUGUGUGUGGUGGUAGGGCAUGGGGAGGAGAAUGUGUAUUUCCUGCAGGCAGUCAGCUCCCAAGGAGAAAGGGAGUAAAGGGGCUGGGCUAUCCUGGUGCAAUGCCUACUCUCAGCAGAGUUGGCUAGCACCGGCUUGUGCAUAUCUCAGCUCCAGGUUCAGUGACCUUCUCAGCUACCUUGUCGGUAGCUUGGUACCGACAUUUCAGCCCUGCUGAAAUGGGUAUCUUUACACUACAGAAGUUAUCAAAUGCUGCAAAUUGAAACUUUUGCCCCAGAGAACCAAUUGUUGAACAUUUACCUGCACACCACCGGCUGCUCCCAAAAUUUCCAACCAGAGAUCUUUCUUCUUCCCCAGCAAAAAAGUGAAUGAGAGGGGUGGAAAAAGGGUGGAGCCGGAGCUGAGAAGAAGAGUUAGCAUCACCACGGUCUUCCUCCAGGCUCUACUAGGAUGGCUCCAGCACCUGCUUCUGGCGUGACCUCAGAAAGCUUACAACCAUGGCGGAAGACAAGGCCAUUCUCAAGCACAACCUGGGUGAGGCUCUGUCAUUGCUUAAUGGAUCAGCUGUAUAGUAACAGCAGAAGAUAAAACAUGGCUUCCAGAUCAGCUAAAGUAUCAACAAGAAUGAAAAUGACACUUCAAAGGAUUUAAGUGAAGAGAGUGUCGUGAAGAUUAUUUGUAGAGAUGUGGGAUCAGAUGAGAAACACCCUGGGACCAGAAACAGCAGAAGCCCUAAUGCCUGCCAAAGGGCAAGACCAGGGUGAGCUCCUACCCACAGUAUCUGGCGAGAGCUGGAGCCCUGAGACAGGGAUGGGGCCUACUGGCACUUGGAAAGUGUACUGGGGUCUUAGUGAACUGAUGUCAUUUCCUCUUCUCUUCCCCAGGAUUUGAGAUUUCUAAAAACAACAACAACAACAACAACAACAACAACAAAACCCUAUACAAAUCUAAAUUAGUUAAAAAAAAAAAAACUAAAGUGGUUGGAUGGGAGCUAUGGCUUAGGAAGAGAAACACAGCCCAUCAAAGAGGGACUAGGGAUUUAAAUAACCCUCUCUUCUCUCUUCCUGUCCAUGCCUUCUGUUGGGUGAAACUAGCAGCCAGAAGGCAAGGGGGCCUGGGUGGAGAUGUCCAGUGGCAUUAGCCUCCCAGGUACAGAGAGAUGCAGAGAAAGAUGCAAAAUAGACCUGGAGUAGCUGAGAAUCAUCUUGUCAUUUGUCACCUAUUAGCCAGUUGCUUUGUCCAAGGCCUUGAGCCUCAGUUUUCUAUAGAGUGGGCAUCAAACUUGUCUACCUCUUGUCUGCCUCACAGGGCCAUGGGGAACAGCCAGUGAAAGUGUUAAAAUCAUUCGCUUGCCAUUUGACCCUCUUCUUCAUCUGCAUUAUCUCACUUAAUUCCUCAACAGCCGGGUAGGGUAUAAGGCAGAGAGGCCAGGGGACAAGGACAGGCAGGCACUUUGGAAUCAGAAGAAGAGGUCAUCAACUGUGGCUCAGCCAAGCUUUUUAACUGUGAGAUCAUGGGAAACUGAAGCUCUCUGAACCUCAGCUAUUGUCUUACUUUGAGCUCCCCCAAAAUCACAUCCUGAGACAAAUAUUUGAGUGCAAAUAGUUCAUUUGGGAGCUGAUCCCAGGAUGCACCAGGAGGGACUGGGCAGGGACUCAGAAAAGGGAAGAAACCCAAUUAUUGGUGUAUUCACAAGUGGGCAACUCGGUCUCAGUGCCACAACUGUGAUGAAGACUGUGCAGGACACAUCCUGGGGUUGGUGGAAUGCAGGGUGCGGGUGCUGGGGUGUUUAUUCACCACCUUCCAUCCCUCACUGGCUGAGGGUUGUUCUUGGAAGUUUUAACUCCCUGGCCAUUUCACACUGCCUGCUGUGGCCAGAGGAGACUCAAGCAGCCAGAGAGUGCCAUGGGGUGGAGACACACAGGAAGCCACAUAGAUGCCCUCCAGCAUGGGCCAGGAGGGAAUGUCUGGGGGACCGACAGCAUCCGUUUUGUUUUUCUAAUUUGUAUGCUAGAGAUGAUGUCUAUGUCACAGGACAGUGACAGAGAUGAAAUGAUUAAUGAUUAAAUGGCUAAAUGUCUUCCAAGUGCCUGGCUCAUAGUAGGUAUCCAAAGAAAAGGAGGCAUUCAUAGUAAAGAUGGGUAAAUAUUCAUGUGUUACAGAUGGAAGCAAAUGGGACUCAAAGAAGUUAAGACAUUUGCCCUAAAUCACACAGACAGUUCUUAAAUGGCCAAGUCAGAUCUGGCCCCAGUUUGUUCCCCUUCCACUCUGCCGUGGCUACCUCCUGUUAAUGGACUAUACAUUUAGAGUGCUUUUGCCUCAUAAAGUGUGUGAAGCUCCAUAAAUAUAAAAUGUUUGUAGUCCCAGCCUUGCUAGCUCAAAUCCAAGUUAAAUUGACUCUUGGGUAGUUCUUCUCUCAGCCCCAAUUCUCAUAAGCUCAAAUAUAUAUUUUCUUAGUCCCCUGGGAUCCUCCAUUCUGUGCCCCAACAAUCCCUAACCCUUCAUUAGUAAUGCCUAGAUGUCUCCACAUAUUUCAAGGGGUGCCAGAAAGUCUCCAGACAAAAUAAAAGAUGCCAUAAAACACCAAGUGCAUAAAACUCUAGACACCUUGUUCUCCAUGUCAUGUUUCCUUUUAAAAACAAAUAUUUUGAAAUGCCCUCUUUACUAUCCUGCUGAUACACACAUAAAAACUAAUAAAAUGCACAAACUCUUUUCUUAAAAAUUGUGGGAAGAUAUACAUAAUAAAAAAUUUACCAUUUUAACC